rnacentral:misc_RNA from 1 species
UUGAAGAUCAGCCUUAGCA